rnacentral:rRNA from 1 species
AAUGGGGGAAACCCUGACGAUGCGACGCCGCGUGGGGGAUGAAGGUCUUCGGAUUGUAAACUCCUGUUCUACAAGAAGAACGAGCAGUUAGUGAUAAGCUAACUGCUGUGACUGUAUUGUAGCAGCAAGCCCCAGCUAACUACGUGCCAGCAGCUGCGGUAAUACGUAGGGGGCAAGCGUUGUCCGGAAUUACUGGGCGUAAAGCGCACGCAGGCGGCCAUAUAAGUCGGGUAUGAAAUUGCUUGGCUUAACCAAGCAACUGUAUUCGAUACUGUGUGGCUUGAGUACGAGAGGGGAAAGUGGAAUGUACAGUGUAGCGGUGAAAUGCGUAGAGAUUGUACAGAACACCGGUAGCGAAGGCAGCUUUCUGGCUCGAUACUGACGCUGAGGUGCGAAAGUCUGGGUAGCGAACGGGAUUAGAUACCCCGGUAGUCCAGACCGUAAACGAUGGGUACUAAGUGUAGGGGAUACGACUCUUCUGUGCUGUAGCUAACGCAUUAAGUACCCCGCCUGGGGAGUACGGCCGCAAGGUUAAAACUCAAGGUAAUUGACGGGGGGCCGCACAAGCGGUGGAGCAUGUCGCUUAAUUCGAAGCAACGCGAAGAACCUUAUCCAGGGCUUGACAUAUCUCUGAUCGCCAUAGAAAUAUGGCUUUCCUUCGGGACAGAGUUACAGGUGCUGCAUGGCUGUCGUCAGCUCGUGUCGUGAGAUGUUGGGUUAAGUCCCGCAACGAGCGCAACCCUUGUCGUUAGUUGCCAUCAGGUAAUGCUGGGGACUCUAGCGAGACCGCUGGUGAAGAGCCAGAGGAAGGUGGGGAUGACGUCAAGUCCGCAUGGCCCUUAUGCCCUGGGCUGCACACGUGCUACAAUGGUCGGUACAGAGGGUUGCCAAACCGCAAGGUGGAGCGAAUCCCAAAAAGCCGGCCUCAGUUCGGAUUGGAGUCUGCAACUCGACUCCA